rnacentral:rRNA from 1 species
ACGUAGGGGGCAAGCGUUGUCCGGAAUUAUUGGGCGUAAAGGGCGCGUAGGCGGCUAUAUAAGUCUGGUUUUAAAGUCCUGGGCUCAACCCCGGGAUGGAUUGGAAACUGUAUGACUUGAGUACAGUAGAGGUAAGCGGAAUUCCCAGUGUAGCGGUGAAAUGCGUAGAUAUUGGGAGGAACACCAGUGGCGAAGGCGGCUUACUGGGCUGUAACUGACGCUGAGGCGCGAAAGCUAGGGGAGCAAACGG